ACGUAGUUUUAAAUUUUUUUAUAUAUAUUAAGUGCUUAUCAUAUACCAUAAGCUGAAGAACCAAAAACUUCUCUUUCUGAUGAAGCCCUAGUUCUCUCUGUCAUUGGUGGUAUUGGAUGUGUUAGGUUCUGCCGAAAUCCCACUCCUCCACCGCCGAUUCUCCUUGUCCUUCUUUCCUAUACACAGGUUGUCUUCUUUCCAAUGAAUCUGUUCCACCCGGUACCAAGCUGCGGAUCAAUCCCCAUCUCUAGCCCACCUAUCUGCAGCGGAGCACGUCAACAAGGAAAAUUACAGAAAUCUAAAAGCCCAAAUAGAUGAAUAACUCUGGCAUCCUGAAGCUUAUAGCGCAAAGGCGAACCUUCUUGUCAGCCCAUCGCCAAAGUCGUCGUCUUCGUCAAUCCCCUUCAUCCCGAGGAUUCCUCUUCUCCCCAGAUGUGAAGUGUGUUGAUACUCUCUUGAAGGUGAUGUGUGCUGUUAUGAAAAUGACGUGUCCUAUUAUUGAAGCUUGUUUCAUGGAAGUGAAAUUUGUGUUUUUUUUAAGUAUGUCUCUUGUAAGGAAAACAUAAGGAAACAUCUUUUUUUUUUUUUGUUAAGCAUCUUUUUUUUCGUUUUUGAAUUCUAUUGUUGAAAUUUGUAAACAAUGAAGUGAAUUGUGUUUGAAUUUUGAAUUAUAUCUCCUGUUUAAUUUAAUUUAAUAUUUAAUUUGUAUUCAA